rnacentral:rRNA from 1 species
UACGUAGGGGCCUAGCGUUGUCCGGAUUUAUUGGGCGUAAAGAGCUCGUAGGCGGUUCGGCAAGUCGGAUGUGAAAUCUCCACGCUUAACGUGGAGGGGCCAUUCGAAACUGCCGUGACUCGAGUCCGGUAGGGGAGUGUGGAAUUCCUGGUGUAGCGGUGAAAUGCGCAGAUAUCAGGAGGAGCACCGAUGGCGAAGGCAGGUCUCUGGGCCACUACUGACGCUGAGGCGCGAAAGCGUGGGGAGCGAACAGG